rnacentral:rRNA from 1 species
CCUACGGGCGGCAGCAGUGGGGAAUAUUGGACAAUGGGGGGAACCCUGAUCCAGCCAUGCCGCGUGUGUGAAGAAGGCCCUCGGGUUGUAAAGCACUUUCAGUGAGGAAGAACGCCUGGUGGUUAAUACCCAUCAGGAAAGACAUCACUCACAGAAGAAGCACCGGCUAACUCCGUGCCAGCAGCCGCGGUAAUACGGAGGGUGCGAGCGUUAAUCGGAAUUACUGGGCGUAAAGCGCGUGUAGGUGGCUUGAUAAGCCGGUUGUGAAAGCCCCGGGCUCAACCUGGGAACGGCAUCCGGAACUGUCAAGCUAGAGUGCAGGAGAGGAAGGUAGAAUUCCCGGUGUAGCCGUGAAAUGCGUAGAGAUCGGGAGGAAUACCAGUGGCGAAGGCGGCCUUCUGGACUGACACUGACACUGAGGUGCGAAAGCGUGGGUAGCAAACAGGAUUAGAUACCCUAGUAGUC